CAGGCCUAACACAUGCAAGUCCAACGAGUGCCUUCGGCUGCUAGUGGCGCACGGGUGCGUAACGCGUGGGAAUCUGCCCUUUGGUCUGGGAUAACCGUUGGAAACGACGGCUAAUACCGGAUGAUGACGUAAGUCCAAAGAUUUAUCGCCAGAGGAUGAGCCCGCGUAGGAUUAGCUAGUUGGUGGGGUAAAGGCCUACCAAGGCGACGAUCCCUAGCUGGUCUGAGAGGAUGAUCAGCCACACUGGGACUGAGACACGGCCCAGACUCCUACGGGAGGCAGCAGUGGGGAAUAUUGGACAAUGGGCGCAAGCCUGAUCCAGCAAUGCCGCGUGAGUGAUGAAGGCCUUAGGGUUGUAAAGCUUUUUUACCCGGGAUGAUAAUGACAGUACCGGGAGAAUAAGCUCCGGCUAACUCCGUGCCAGCAGCCGCGGUAAU
rnacentral:rRNA from 1 species